rnacentral:rRNA from 1 species
GACGUAGGAGGCGAGCGUUGUCCGGAUUCAUUGGGCGUAAAGAGCGCGUAGGCGGUCCGGUAAGUCCGCUCUGAAAGUCCGGGGCUCAACCCCGGGAGGCGGGCGGAUACUGUCGGGCUAGAGUCCGGAAGAGGCGAGUGGAAUUCCUGGUGUAGCGGUGAAAUGCGCAGAUAUCAGGAGGAACACCAAUGGCGAAGGCAGCUCGCUGGGACGGUACUGACGCUGAGGCGCGAAAGCGUGGGGAGCAAACAGG